GGACAUAGAUAAGUAUGGCUGCCGAAUGGGCUGGAUUACUUCAUCCAGUAUUAAGUCCCAAGACCACUCUCAGCGAGUCUGCCAAAUCCACACUCAAAAUCCCAGAUACCCCAAAUACAAAGAGAGGUUCAAACCUAAUAGGGAACAGGGUGAGUUGUGGCCUCAGCAAAAAAACUCCUAUCCCCGGGGAGGGCAGUGAGCCACCUUGCUGAGCAGGUAUUAGCAAUUCGAUGGCUCUCUAAUGAACACUCUGACCCUAUCAUUGCCAUUCCAUCUGGACCCUGAAAAAUAUUGGUAAAUUUUCUUAUUGACACCGGG